GGGCCCAUGAAUCAUCAACAACCUUCAGCCAAAGUCCAUCUCCUGAACUCGUUCCUAACAGACUCCGCAAAUGUUCCGAUUUCUUGGCCGAUUCUGUUUCGAUUUCGUGCCUCCUUCUCCACGAAAUUCCCCUAUAAAUACCCACAUAUCUCUUCUUCUUUUCCUCCUCCGAAAACCCAAUUUGGUUGCCGCCAGGCUACUCGAUUUCACCGCCGAAAACUCCACCGUAUGCUGCUGUUUCGCUAACGAUUCGGCCGAUACAUGAGGAAAUCUGCAUCGGAUUUGCGCCCCUCCUCUUCCCCUCUCGCUGGCAUAACCUCUAAGCCCCUCCUUUGUAUCCGCCACAGGCACAGCUUCGGCCGACGUUUUCCGACGCGAGUGGACACCAUCAAUCUCGCCGGGCACGCCUUCAGAAUUCCUUUCGUCGCGCGGCACGUCGUUCCCUCCUCGCCGAACCCAGGAGCUCCUACAGAAAAUACACCACAGUGCCCGAGUUUGCCGUCGUCGUCCUCCCGAGCGCCCGCGUGAACCGCUGCCGAUCGUGCGGAGUGUAACACGAAGAGCGCGAACGCCAACGACAAAUAAGGCAAGUUGAACUUUUGAUCAUAACAGAUCUAUUAUUUUCCUAUAUGUGCAGUAGGAUUUUAGUACAAGUACAUGUGUAGGAUUGUUAUUGAUGGAUUGUGUGCUAUUGCUAUGAAACCCGCGCAUGAUAGCCAUAUGUUUAUUAUGAUUGGAUUCAUUGCUCGUCAACCUAUGUUUGAUUGCUUGGAUACGCUUUAUAAGUGGGUGGAAGAUCAUGUCAUGGGUAUGUAUUAGUUGAAAGGUUAGUUUUAGUCGACAAAAUAACAAUUGGAUGAAUUGGGGCGGAUAUGAAUAGUACUUGAGAAGGUUGUAGGUCGACCGAUAUGGUAAGGGCUUUGAGCCGGACUUACUGACAUGUAUAGGUCGAGUGGCAUGGUAAGGGCAGAAAGCCUGACUUACUGACAUGUACACUAGUUGAUGGGAGGGUGGCAUGGUAAGGACGUUGAGCCUGACUUACUGACAUGUUCACUGGUGGUGAGUGGCAUGGUAAGGGUGUUGAGCCAGACUUACUGACAUGUACACUGGUGAUGAGUGACAUGGUAAGGGUGUAGAGCCUGACUUACUGACAUGUACACUAAUGAAGUGGAGAUUAGCAUGGUAAGGGUAUUGAACCUGACUUACUAGCAUGUGUAAUGGAAGAACGGAGAUUAACAUGGUAGGGAGUCUGAGCUUGACCUACUCACAUGUGCACUAGAGGAGUUCGGAGAUUAAAGCUGCUGGGAUAAAACUAGGACGGUACUAUGAUUGCUUUGUGCAAAUAAAAUAAAAGUUUGAACCCUCACCUUGAAAAUGUACUUGAUAGAUUUGUUAUAAGUCUCUAGUGAUACUCGCCAAUACAUUCAAUGUAUUGACCCUGCGUGGCUGCAACGUUUUAUGUUGCAGAUAUUCCGAUAAACGAGUGAGGUUCGAUGGUUAGGGUUACGAGUCUAUACUCAACAUGCUCGCCUGUGGCACAUGAAGACGAAGGACUCCAUGCUGAUAUGUUUCGUUGAAAACUCUGAUAUGAUGCUAGCUUCGGCUAUGCAAUUUUGUAAGUUAUUAUGUAAUUUUGGAUCAUGCAAUGUAAUAAAGACCUUUGUUUCUUGGUA